rnacentral:rRNA from 1 species
ACGGGGUGCAGCAGGCGCGAAACCUCCGCAAUGUGAGAAAUCACGACGGGGGGACCCCAAGUGCCAUUCUUAACGGGAUGGCUUUUCUUAAGUGUAAAAAGCUUUUGGAAUAAGAGCUGGGCAAGACCGGUGCCAGCCGCCGCGGUAACACCGGCAGCUCUAGUGGUGGCCAUUUUUAUUGGGCCUAAAGCGUUCGUAGCCGGUUUAAUAAGUCUUUGGUGAAAUCCUGUAGCUUAACUGCGGGACUUGCUGGGGAUACUAUUAGACUUGAGGUCGGGAGAGGUUAGAGGUACUCCCAGGGUAGGGGUGAAAUCCUGUAAUCCUGGGAGGACCACCUGUGGCGAAGGCGUCUAACUGGAACGAACCUGACGGUGAGGGACGAAAGCCAGGGGCGCGAACCGGAUUAGAUACCCGGGUAGUCCUGGCCGUAAACGAUGCGGACUUGGUGUUGGGAUGACUUUGAGUUGUUUCAGUGCCGAAGGGAAGCUGUUAAGUCCGCCGCCU